rnacentral:rRNA from 1 species
AUUGAACGCUGGCGGCAGGCCUAACACAUGCAAGUCGAGCGGAAGAAGGGAGCUUGCUCCUGGAUUCAGCGGCGGACGGGUGAGUAAUGCCUAGGAAUCUGCCUGGUUGUGGGGGAUAACGUCCGGAAACGGGCGCUAAUACCGCAUACGUCCUGCGGGAGAAAGUGGGGGAUCUUCGGACCUCGCGCUAUCAGAUGAGCCUAGGUCGGAUUAGCUAGUUGGUGGGGUAAAGGCCUACCUAGGCGACGAUCCGUAACUGGUCUGAGAGGAUGAUCAGUCACACUGGAACUGAGACACGGUCCAUACUCCUACGGGAGGCAGCAGUGGGGAAUAUUGGACAAUGGGCGAAAGCCUGAUCCAGCCAUGCCGCGUGUGUGAAGAAGGUCUUCGGAUUGUAAAGCACUUUAAGUUGGGAGGAAGGGCAGUAAGUUAAUACCUUGCUGUUUUGACGUUACCAACAGAAUAAGCACCGGCUAACUUCAUG